rnacentral:rRNA from 1 species
CCUACGGGAGGCAGCAGUGAGGAAUAUUGGUCAAUGGGCGAGAGCCUGAACCAGCCAAGUCGCGUGAAGGAUGACGGCCCUACGGGUUGUAAACUUCUUUUGUCAGGGAGCAAAGGGGGCCACGCGUGGGCUUAGCGAGAGGACCUGUAGAAAAAGCAGCGGCUAACUCCGUGCCAGCAGCCGCGGUAAUACGGAGGAUGCGUGCGUGAUCCGGAUUGAUUGGGUUAAAAGGGUGCGUAGGAGGAAUAUCAAGUGAGCGGUAAAAAUUAGGGGCUCACCCUCGUCGUGCCGUUGAAACUGCUGUUCUUGAGUGGGCGAGAAGUAUGCGGAAUGCGUGUUGUAGCGGU